GCCAGGCGCAGUGGCACACGCCUGUAAUCCUAGCAACUCAGGAGGCUGAGGCAGGAGGACCCUGUCUCAA
rnacentral:sRNA from 1 species